GCGGAAGUACAUGGUAGCGCGUUUGUUUUGGGUACAAAAUGUCACAGGUUCAAAUCCUGUCAUCCCUA
rnacentral:tRNA from 1 species